rnacentral:misc_RNA from 1 species
GAUGAAGAACGUAGCGAAAUGCGAUAAGUAAUGUGAAUUGCAGAAUUCAGUGAAUCAUCGAAUCUUUGAACGCACAUUGCGCCCCCUGGUAUUCCGGGGGGCAUGCCUGUUCGAGCGUCAUUUCACCACUCAAGCCUCGCUUGGUAUUGGGCAACGCGGUCCGCCGCGUGCCUCAAAUCGACCGGCUGGGUCUUCUGUCCCCUAAGCGUUGUGGAAACUAUUCGCUAAAGGGUGUUCGGGAGGCUACGCCGUAAAACAACCCCAUUUCUAAAGUUGACCUCGGAUCAGGUAGGGAUACCCGCUGAACUUAAGCAUAUCAAUAAGCGGAGGA